ACGGGAGGCAGCAGUGGGGGAUAUUGCACAAUGGGGGGAACCCUGAUGCAGCGACGCCGCGUGAGUGAAGAAGUAUUUCGGUAUGUAAAGCUCUAUCAGCAGGGAAGAAAAUGACGGUACCUGACUAAGAAGCUCCGGCUAAAUACGUGCCAGCAGCCGCGGUAAUACGUAUGGAGCAAGCGUUAUCCGGAUUUACUGGGUGUAAAGGGGGCGUAGACGGUGUGGCAAGUCUGAUGUGAAAGCUUGGGGCUCAACCCCGAAACUGCAUUGGAAACUGUCAGACUAGAGUGUCGGAGAGGUAAGUAGAAUUCCUAGUGUAGCGGUGAAAUGCGUAGAUAUUAGGAGGAACACCAGUGGCGAAGGCGACUUACUGGACGAUAACUGACGUUGAGGCUCGAAAGCGUGGGGAGCAAACAGGAUUAGAUACCCUGGUA
rnacentral:rRNA from 1 species